rnacentral:rRNA from 1 species
GACGAACGCUGGCGGCGUGCCUAAUACAUGCAAGUCGAACGAAACUUUCUUACACCGAAUGUUUGCAUUCACCGUAAGAAGUUGAGUGGCGGACGGGUGAGUAACACGUGGGUAACCUGCCUAAAAGAAGGGGAUAACACUUGGAAACAGGUGCUAAUACCGUAUAUCUCUAAGGAUCGCAUGAUCCUUAGAUGAAAGAUGGUUCUGCUAUCGCUUUUAGAUGGACCCGCGGCGUAUUAACUAGUUGGUGGGGUAACGGCCUACCAAGGUGAUGAUACGUAGCCGAACUGAGAGGUUGAUCGGCCACAUUGGGACUGAGACACGGCCCAAACUCCUACGGGAGGCAGCAGUAGGGAAUCUUCCACAAUGGACGCAAGUCUGAUGGAGCAACGCCGCGUGAGUGAAGAAGGUCUUCGGAUCGUAAAACUCUGUUGUUAAAGAAGAACACGAGUGAGAGUAACUGUUCAUUCGACGACGGUAUCUAACCAGCAAGUCACGGCUAACUACGUGCCAGCAGCCGCGGUAAUACGUAGGUGGCAAGCGUUGUCCGGAUUUAUUGGGCGUAAAGGGAACGCAGGCGGUCUUUUAAGUCUGAUGUGAAAGCCUUCGGCUUAACCGGAGUAGUGCAUUGGAAACUGGAAGACUUGAGUGCAGAAGAGGAGAGUGGAACUCCAUGUGUAGCGGUGAAAUGCGUAGAUAUAUGGAAGAACACCAGUGGCGAAAGCGGCUCUCUGGUCUGUAACUGACGCUGAGGUUCGAAAGCGUGGGUAGCAAACAGG